rnacentral:rRNA from 1 species
AGUGAACGCUGGCGGUAGGCCUAACACAUGCAAGUCGAACGGCAGCACAGUAAGAGCUUGCUCUUACGGGUGGCGAGUGGCGGACGGGUGAGGAAUACAUCGGAAUCUACUUUUUCGUGGGGGAUAACGUAGGGAAACUUACGCUAAUACCGCAUACGUCCUACGGGUGAAAGCAGGGGAUCUUCGGACCUUGCGCGAUUGGAUGAGCCGAUGUCGGAUUAGCUAGUUGGCGGGGUAAAGGCCCACCAAGGCGACGAUACGUAGCUGGUCUGAGAGGAUGAGCAGCCACACUGGAACUGAGACACGGUCCAGACUCCUACGGGAGGCAGCAGUGGGGAAUAUUGGACAAUGGGCGCAAGCCUGAUCCAGCCAUACCGCGUGGGUGAAGAAGGCCUUCGGGCUGUAAAGCCCUUUUGUUGGGAAAGAAAAGCAGUAGGUGAAUACCCCGCUGUUCUGACGGUACCCAAAGAAUAAGCACCGGCUAACUUCGUG